rnacentral:rRNA from 1 species
CCUACGGGUGGCUGCAGUGGGGAAUAUUGCACAAUGGGGGAAACCCUGAUGCAGCAACGCAGCGUGAGUGAAGAAGUAUUUCGGUAUGUAAAGCCCUAUCAGCAGGGAAGAAAAUGACAGUACCUGACUAAGAAGCCCCGGCUAACUACGUGCCAGCAGCCGGGGUAAUACGUCGGGGGCAAGCGUUAGCCGGAUUUACUGGGUGUAAAGGGAGCGUAGACGGCUGCGCAAGUCAGAAGUGAAAGCACGGGGCUCAAACGGGGGACUGCUUUUGAAACUGUGUAGCUAGAGUGCAGGAGAGGUAAGUGGAAUUCCUGGUGUAGCGGUGAAAUGCGUAGAUAUGAGGAGGAACACCGGUGGCGAAGGCGGCUUACUGGACUGUAACUGACGUUGAGGCUCGAAGGCGUGGGGAGCAAACAGGAUUAGAUACCCUGGUAGUC